rnacentral:rRNA from 1 species
GGGUUGUGAGGUUAAGCGACUAAGCGUACACGGUGGAUGCCCUGGCAGUCAGAGGCGAUGAAGGACGUGCUAAUCUGCGAUAAGCGUCGGUAAGGUGAUAUGAACCGUUAUAACCGGCGAUUUCCGAAUGGGGAAACCCAGUGUGUUUCGACACACUAUCAUUAACUGAAUCCAUAGGUUAAUGAGGCGAACCGGGGGAACUGAAACAUCUAAGUACCCCGAGGAAAAGAAAUCAACCGAGAUUCCCCCAGUAGCGGCGAGCGAACGGGGAGCAGCCCAGAGCCUGAAUCAGUGUGUGUGUUAGUGGAAGCGUCUGGAAAGGCGCGCGAUACAGGGUGACAGCCCCGUACACAAAAAUGCACAUGCUGUGAGCUCGAUGAGUAGGGCGGGACACGUGGUAUCCUGUCUGAAUAUGGGGGGACCAUCCUCCAAGGCUAAAUACUCCUGACUGACCGAUAGUGAACCAGUACCGUGAGGGAAAGGCGAAAAGAACCCCGGCGAGGGGAGUGAAAAAGAACCUGAAACCGUGUACGUACAAGCAGUGGGAGCACGCUUAGGCGUGUGACUGCGUACCUUUUGUAUAAUGGGUCAGCGACUUAUAUUCUGUAGCAAGGUUAACCGAAUAGGGGAGCCGAAGGGAAACCGAGUCUUAACUGGGCGUUAAGUUGCAGGGUAUAGACCCGAAACCCGGUGAUCUAGCCAUGGGCAGGUUGAAGGUUGGGUAACACUAACUGGAGGACCGAACCGACUAAUGUUGAAAAAUUAGCGGAUGACUUGUGGCUGGGGGUGAAAGGCCAAUCAAACCGGGAGAUAGCUGGUUCUCCCCGAAAGCUAUUUAGGUAGCGCCUCGUGAAUUCAUCUCCGGGGGUAGAGCACUGUUUCGGCAAGGGGGUCAUCCCGACUUACCAACCCGAUGCAAACUGCGAAUACCGGAGAAUGUUAUCACGGGAGACACACGGCGGGUGCUAACGUCCGUCGUGAAGAGGGAAACAACCCAGACCGCCAGCUAAGGUCCCAAAGUCAUGGUUAAGUGGGAAACGAUGUGGGAAGGCCCAGACAGCGAGGAUGUUGGCUUAGAAGCAGCCAUCAUUUAAAGAAAGCGUAAUAGCUCACUGGUCGAGUCGGCCUGCGCGGAAGAUGUAACGGGGCUAAACCAUGCACCGAAGCUGCGGCAGCGACGCUUAUGCGUUGUUGGGUAGGGGAGCGUUCUGUAAGCCUGUGAAGGUGUGCUGUGAGGCAUGCUGGAGGUAUCAGAAGUGCGAAUGCUGACAUAAGUAACGAUAAAGCGGGUGAAAAGCCCGCUCGCCGGAAGACCAAGGGUUCCUGUCCAACGUUAAUCGGGGCAGGGUGAGUCGACCCCUAAGGCGAGGCCGAAAGGCGUAGUCGAUGGGAAACAGGUUAAUAUUCCUGUACUUGGUGUUACUGCGAAGGGGGGACGGAGAAGGCUAUGUUGGCCGGGCGACGGUUGUCCCGGUUUAAGCGUGUAGGCUGGUUUUCCAGGCAAAUCCGGAAAAUCAAGGCUGAGGCGUGAUGACGAGGCACUACGGUGCUGAAGCAACAAAUGCCCUGCUUCCAGGAAAAGCCUCUAAGCAUCAGGUAACAUCAAAUCGUACCCCAAACCGACACAGGUGGUCAGGUAGAGAAUACCAAGGCGCUUGAGAGAACUCGGGUGAAGGAACUAGGCAAAAUGGUGCCGUAACUUCGGGAGAAGGCACGCUGAUAUGUAGGUGAAGUCCCUCGCGGAUGGAGCUGAAAUCAGUCGAAGAUACCAGCUGGCUGCAACUGUUUAUUAAAAACACAGCACUGUGCAAACACGAAAGUGGACGUAUACGGUGUGACGCCUGCCCGGUGCCGGAAGGUUAAUUGAUGGGGUUAGCGGUAACGCGAAGCUCUUGAUCGAAGCCCCGGUAAACGGCGGCCGUAACUAUAACGGUCCUAAGGUAGCGAAAUUCCUUGUCGGGUAAGUUCCGACCUGCACGAAUGGCGUAAUGAUGGCGGGCUGUCUCCACCCGAGACUCAGUGAAAUUGAACUCGCUGUGAAGAUGCAGUGUACCCGCGGCAAGACGGAAAGACCCCGUGAACCUUUACUAUAGCUUGACACUGAACAUUGAGCCUUGAUGUGUAGGAUAGGUGGGAGGCUUAGAAGUGUGGACGCCAGUCUGCAUGGAGCCGACCUUGAAAUACCACCCUUUAAUGUUUGAUGUUCUAACGUUGACCCGUAAUCCGGGUUGCGGACAGUGUCUGGUGGGUAGUUUGACUGGGGCGGUCUCCUCCUAAAGAGUAACGGAGGAGCACGAAGGUUGGCUAAUCCUGGUCGGACAUCAGGAGGUUAGUGCAAUGGCAUAAGCCAGCUUGACUGCGAGCGUGACGGCGCGAGCAGGUGCGAAAGCAGGUCAUAGUGAUCCGGUGGUUCUGAAUGGAAGGGCCAUCGCUCAACGGAUAAAAGGUACUCCGGGGAUAACAGGCUGAUACCGCCCAAGAGUUCAUAUCGACGGCGGUGUUUGGCACCUCGAUGUCGGCUCAUCACAUCCUGGGGCUGAAGUAGGUCCCAAGGGUAUGGCUGUUCGCCAUUUAAAGUGGUACGCGAGCUGGGUUUAGAACGUCGUGAGACAGUUCGGUCCCUAUCUGCCGUGGGCGCUGGAGAACUGAGGGGGGCUGCUCCUAGUACGAGAGGACCGGAGUGGACGCAUCACUGGUGUUCGGGUUGUCAUGCCAAUGGCACUGCCCGGUAGCUAAAUGCGGAAGAGAUAAGUGCUGAAAGCAUCUAAGCACGAAACUUGCCCCGAGAUGAGUUCUCCCUGACUCCUUGAGAGUCCUGAAGGAACGUUGAAGACGACGACGUUGAUAGGCCGGGUGUGUAAGCGCAGCGAUGCGUUGAGCUAACCGGUACUAAUGAACCGUGAGGCUUAACCUUACAACGCCGAAG